UCUAACAAUUGAAUAUUCCUUCCAGCCAAGUAUAGUGUGAACUUAUAUUCCUCGGACCUUAAGCCAAGAUGAAGGUUGCAAUAUUCUGCCUUUCCUGGGCGGUGGAUUUCAGUAUUAUUGGCGAAAGCGGCGUUCCUACAGAGGAUUCCACAUGGGAUACCGGCGCCUGUACCUACGACUGCUUCGGAAGACUUGAGGGACAAUCGUGCGGCACCAAAUGUAGGUGUCGCCGGUACGCCAGGAACCGUACCGACAUGGUCUGUCUGCUAGAUGGCUCCCCGGUACCAAGUGGAGUUGUACCGCUAGCGCGGGAUCCGCUGCCACCUCCACAGCCACGACAGCACCGUCAACGUCCGCAAGAUGACGUUGGUGGCGGCGACGUCUUGCGGCGUCCGCAAAAUCCGUUAGAUGAGCGAAACGUCCGAGAUCGGCGAAACACGCGAUACGCGGAAGCUUCGCGAAGUGCGCGAUAUGCCGAGCUUCUGAAAAAAGCGCGACGUGCUCGAGAUCGACGUCGACGACGUGCUCGACAUGCGCAUGGUCCACGUAGUGAGCGACGUGGCCAAUAAGAUCUGCGGCACGUACGACAGCCGCCUCGAAAGUAGCACGCGAGUGAGCAUGAGGGGGAAGGCCGCAAAUGUUUAAUUUACAUUAUUAUUAUUUGUUUUGAACACAUAUACACAUAUACACAGGUAUUAGGAAAGGGAAAGCGAGGAGCAGGUUGGCAACUGCCACCGUAAGGUGCACAACGCCUGCCUACUCUUCUGAAGGGAGGUGACAGCAACACAGAAAUAGAAGAUAGGAAGGAGGGGAGGAAAAAGGAAAGAGGAAAGGAGAGCAACAGGCCACUGCAACAGGACAAAUCUAAAGACUAAAGUAGAACUCUGCAGCCGGAAUUAAAGUGACGCCGCGUCGAACAGCCUCCACAAUUAUCAACCACAUCCAUGGCUAGUUCGCUAUGCGGCUAAUUGUGUUCUCCACGAUGAGACGCCAAGUAAUGCUGCACGUAAUCACCGUUUCACCGUUAGUCGGUUCACGAUAUACACUAUAAGGUGUUUGAACCCGCCACCUCCCAUCUUCGAAGGAAGAAGCAUCAGGGUACAGUACUGAUCACAUACAGUAGGGCCGGUCACUGAAGGUCACGCUACUACAGAGUGUUCAAUGUUCAUGCUACAAACGUGAACCUAAGUUAGUUAGUUCUAUAAAGGUUAGUAGGGCACGAUUGGCCUGAUCACGUGUAGAUGCACAGCCACUGGGGUAUAAACAUUCCUCGAGUGUCGCACACCGCAGGCCAAGGAGAUGAUAGUUUCUCACUAGUGACAUGCGCUGCGCACCGAAAGCGGGACACUCAAAUAUAAGGUGCUGGAGUGUCUCGUAGCAGCCACAAGACGUACACAAUGGACUUUCCGCAUGCCCUUGUCUGUAUAAACGAUCGUGCACGUUCACGCAACCAACCCUUAGCUUGAGCAGUUGUGCUCUAGCGCGACGAGGCAAGCCUCGACCACGAACACGGGGCGGGAACGUUCCAUUUGCGACGCGCGUAUACAUCGAAGAAAAGAAGUUAGCAGGUGCGCGAAGUGCAUGGUAUAUGCGCUGUCGUCUAGAGCUUGAGAAAGUUCACAUGCAGGAGGUCAUACUCUAAGCUUUCGUGGGACACGAGCGCAGUGGGGUGGGACGACACUGGCUAGUACGCAAGAAGAAAAAAAAAAGAAGGCUACACAGUAGCGCGAGCGUCAUUUUAUGGUAUUUAUAUAGACUAAUACUUCGUAUUUACGCAAGCACCAUAUCUGUACAUAUAUUAGUUGUUCUAGUAACAGCCUUUUGCCGUAGCAGAAUUUAGGCAUCUGUUUAACAUUAUUGCAUUCAGACGAAGUCCACAGGCAGCUUAGCGGAAGCUGACCUAUUUGAAUAACCAUCGAAAUGAACCCGAGCAUAAUGUAACUCUUCAUCGCAUGGUAGCUCACAGUGCUGAGUGAUAAAAAAAAAAAAUGUUGCUGCUUGCCUAGAGAAACAUAAAUAUCGCUGAAUAGAAAAAACACUCUCGCUUAAGACAGUUAAGGAAUGAGUGCCCACAAGGCAAUGGACAAGAACUUUCAGUGAUUUGCUUAUGUAUUCCCAACAAUCGUAGGUGUUUACCUGACUCCUUCUGUCACGCUUCUUACUCCUCUUGCGGCCAAUUCCAGUUAUUACUCUGAAGGCGCUACUGGAAUUCGCGGGAUAGAUCACUCGGAUCAUGCUAUGAUUUCGGACACUGUAAUCUAUUACAGCAAAACGUAGUGCACUAUGCUGGCACCCACAUUGAAAGUUGUCAUGCGGGGCCGGGAAACUGACGUGACGCCCUCCAUAAGUUUCCGUUGAAGGCAUCUCUAAAAAGAGUUCGAAAGCGAAAGCGAUCCGGCUUGAAGCCAGGUAAUACGAUACGACAUUUGUAAAACAAAGAAAGAAAGAAAGAAAGAAGGAAAGAAAGAGAGAAGGAAAGAAAGAACUAGAGAGAAAGAAACAAACAAACAAAGAAAAAACAAAGGAAAGAGCAGACUUGACCUGGCCUGGCGGAAUCACUUCCCAAUUUCUAGUGAAGCUGUACUUUUGGACAUCAUGCACUGAGAAUUUCAGAUGCCUUAAAUAAAACCACACAUUUUAAAACGCUGCCUGCGUAUGUGACUAACGAUAUGGACUCCGCUGAAUGCAAAUUUAAAGUGCGUGUUACAUUUCGUUUUUUCCAUGAAAAAGUCAUGCUUAUAACGGGCGUGUCUAACGGCACAAUUCAUGCACGUUUACAUAACUAUCCUUACGCGAAGAUCAAACGUAACGCAUUGCCUAUAUUUCCACCAGAUAGGCGUAUACGGUGUCGGGGCCACUCCCAGUUAGCCUGAGAAUAGUGAACAAAGACUUCACUUAGUGCUCUUCGUAUAAGGCCUGACUCAAGCAGCCACCAUCCGCCUCGUCACGGCACCGGUGCUCGGUACAAGAGAGCGCUUUCUCACCGGUUUCUUUUAGAAAAACGUGGCGUUUUAGGUACUCGUGUCUUUUACCGUGCUCUGCAUUGCAGAGGUGGAUUGCCACUAGACAGACACCGUGCACCAGGCUGUGCUCAAACGGUUAUCAUGCACAGCAUCGUUGUUCUUGACAAUAAACACCAUGCUAUUAAAUGGUAGAUAAAAUUAAGGCUUUAACAAGACAAAACAAAAGAAUACGCGAAAUAAAAGCUUUGCCCACGACGAAAAAAAGAAGCAUAUAAAACAUUACAUAAAAGAAAAGUUGGGCAAGUCAAGUUAUGAUGUGCAGCGCAGACUAAGCGCUUCGAACUGCAUGCGACAAUCAUGGGAAGCGCCCAACAAGGCGGACAUAUUUCACUUCUCAUCAAAGAGCACAAUGUGUUAAGGAAUCACAACAUUACAGAAGUAGUAGUGAAUUGCUACGGACGAUAAUUAGUGUCUGAAGGGUACGGUCCUUUCGCAGGACUGAAUUCUGGAGCGCGAGCACAGCACCAUGCGUACAACUCGCUGGAUUUCUGCAGGCGCCUGCCUGAAGUCUAGUGAAAAAAAAAAAAACUGAAGAGAUCAUGUGAUUACGC